CUCUCUCUCUCUCUCUCUCUCUCUCUCUCUCUCUCUCUCUCUCUCUCUUCUUUCUUUCAUUCUUUCAAUGGAACAUUAAGGUCUUUGAUCUUCUUUCCUUCCUUUCUCUGUUUUUUUUUUCCUUUUCUUUUUUGUUCCAUCUAUCAUUGGUGAUUUGGCUCUAGGGUUUUGGCUUCAGUCCUAUGUUCUCAAUGUCCUUGCAGGUUACGAUGUUAAUUUGGGGAUAAAUUUGACAGGGUAGCAGAUUGUAAAUUUGGGGGUUAGGGUUUUGGUUUUUUUAUUUCAAUUCAGAUGGGUUGACAUUUUGGUUUGUUUAAUCUUUGUUUGGAGAUAUGAGUGAAAGCAUUAGCAUGAUGGCAAGCAUUGGGAGGCGCAGUACUGUGACUGCGAAGAUGUCAAAUUGAACUACGGCGACUGUUCUCAAUCUUUGGUGGCGACAUCUAACUUGUAUCACUCUGAAUCAGAUUCUAGCAGGUAAUUUCUUGUAACUUUUUUUGUUCUUAAAUAAGAUUUAAUUUGUUACUUUUUAAACUUACUUUUUGUGUUUCAUCUCAGUAGAGAGCCAAAUUGAAACCCCAACAAGUAAGUUGAUUGAUUUGAUUUAUUUGUAGUGAUCGAUGUUGGUUUUCAUCGUAUAAUGCCCUUAAUAAAUUCUUUUCCACCCUUUUUGUUUCCCAAUUGGGCCCUUUGGAUUUCUUGAAAUGUUUACACCUCCAAAGAGCACCAGUUUAGUGUCAAUAGAAGAGAACUUAUUGCGAAAAUAAGACUUUAUUAAUAAUUUUUGUAUUGUACAGUUUUGUUCAUAUUGGUUGAUCAUCAGAUUGCUGGAAAAUUGAAGGACAAUUACAAUUUGGAGCUCUGAUUUUGCCUUCAUUUGAUAGUUGGAUAAACAGACUUAAUACUUAAUAGGACAUGCUAAGUUGGAAGAUAUAGACAAGCUCUUUGAAGUACACUAGCAUAGCUGUGGUUAGCAAAUGAGUCGAGAGACUUAUGAAUGAGAAAAUUUAUCUCCUUCAAAUUGUGACUAAAAUAUGUAAGUUUCAUCAACUUACGUGUGCUCCUGUAGACCGCUUGAUCUUUGAAAUGGUUGUUCAGAGAUAAUGCAAUUAAGUGUUGAUGCUGCUUUGGAGAAGUAAUAGAUAUAGUUUCUGGAUGUUUUGGAGAAGUAAUAGGUUUGUAGGGUUUGUAUUACUAGUACACAAGUACAUAACCUUGUUAGUUGAGACAAUGUAUUACUUGUGCAAUUUUGCAAUAUAUUACAAACAUUACUUGUAUUUAUGCUUUAAUUGUCUUGUUUUUGUAUUACUUUUGCAAGCAGUUAAAAGAUGAAGGAACAUUACAUUCCUGAAAUGCUGUAAUAAAAUGUAUACUAGCAUUAUGAAAUGCUAUUAAAUGGUAUAUAACAACAUUUGAGAAA